rnacentral:lncRNA from 1 species
AAAGAUGCACUCACCUUUAGUGCGACCUCAUAAAAAGAACUUCACAUAAAUAGUAGCAUUGUCCCAAUCAUCUUCACUUGGUUGUCCAACCCUAAUAUGGUUACUAUUACUCACAACUACACCAUCCUCAUCAACUUCAUGUUCUCGUUCCUUGAACUAAGCCAAGAAAGGGUUGUCAUCAUCCUCUCCCAUUCUUACAAAAGCUUUUUUUAUAUUUGAAGGCUGCAUCCAAUAUUAUAAAUGUUCAAUUCUGCCUUGUGGGGACAUCCAUGCAAACCAUGCCUUUGAUGGACAGUCCCUUUGAGUCCAC